rnacentral:rRNA from 1 species
AACCUCCGCAAUGUACGAAAGUGCGACGGGGGGAUCCCAAGUGUUAUGCUUUUUGUAUAACUUUUCAUUAGUGUAAAAAGCUUUUAGAAUAAGAGCUGGGCAAGACCGGUGCCAACCGCCGCGGUAACACCGGCAGCUCUAGUGGUAGCAGUUUUUAUUGGGCCUAAAGCGUCCGUAGCCGGUUUAAUAAGUCUCUGGUGAAAUCCUGUAGCUUAACUGUGGGAAUUGCUGGAGAUACUAUUAGACUUGAGACCGGGAGAGGUUAGAGGUACUCCCAGGGUAGAGGUGAAAUUCUGUAAUCCUGGGAGGACCGCCUGUUGCGAAGGCGUCUAACUGGAACGGUUCUGACGGUGAGGGACGAAAGUUAGGGGCGCGAACCGGAUUAGAUACCCGGGUAGUCCUAACCGUAAACGAUGCGGACUUGGUGUUGGGGUGGCUUUGAGCUGCUCCAGUGCCGAAGGGAAGCUGUUAAGUCCGCCGCCUGGGAAGUACGGUCGCAAGACUGAAACUUAAAGGAAUU